GCAAGUGAGGGUGAUUGUCUGUGUUGUCUGUCACCCCAUUGAUUGCUGAGGUUGAUCUGGCUGGCUGGGUGUCCUAUUCCUCUCUCACUAUUACACAAGCAUCCCUUUGGAAGCUCUGUGUUCAGUGGAAGAGGAUGACGANUGCAGGUUGGAGAAGGUAAGGAUAUAUGAUAGCUGUACUCUGCUAGAACUUGUGAAGAAGCUCAAGGUCCAUAAUAUGGCACGUACUGAAUGCUGUCUUUG
rnacentral:snRNA from 1 species